rnacentral:lncRNA from 1 species
UAGGUUCGCUUGGGGCCAUUCGGGCUCGGGGUCCCUCCUAGGGCUUGAAUUCGGGGAUCCGAGCCUCUGUCACCCUGAGGGAGUUGUCUUAUUUUGCGCCAAAAGCUUCCUUGAUAGCUGGGACUCCCAUCGGGAGUCCCAAUCCUUGCUGUGACAGGGUUUUUAUACCUCGGACGCUGUUUGUUUUCCAAUCGUCACUGUUGCAAUCCAUUGCCUUCCUUUUUCGCUUGG